GGAGAGGUGGCCGAGCGGUUGAAGGCGCUCGCCUGCUAAGCGAGUAUACCUCACAAGGGUAUCGAGGGUUCGAAUCCCUCCCUCUCCG
rnacentral:tRNA from 1 species